rnacentral:rRNA from 1 species
AGCGAACGCUGGCGGCAGGCUUAACACAUGCAAGUCGAGCGGGCAUCCUUGUGGUGUCAGCGGCAGACGGGUGAGUAACGCGUGGGAACGUGCCCUUCGGUUCGGAAUAACUCAGGGAAACUUGAGCUAAUACCGGAUACGUGCGAGAGCAGAAAGGUUUAUCUGACGAAGGAUCGGCCCGCGUCUGAUUAGCUAGUUGGUGAGGUUAUGGCUCACCAAGGCGACGAUCAGUAGCUGGUCUGAGAGGAUGAUCAGCCACACUGGGACUGAGACACGGCCCCGACUCCUACGGAAGGCAGCAGUGGGGAAUAUUGGACACUGGGGGCAACCCUGAUCCAGCCAUGCCGCGUGAGUGAUGACGGCCUUAGGGUUGUAAAGCUCUUUUCUUCGGGACGAUAAUGACGGUACCGGAGGAAUAAGCCCCGGCUAACUUCGUG